rnacentral:lncRNA from 1 species
GUUCCUGGGCUGCUCGGUCGGUGAGGCGGGACCGGAGCACAGCUGCCAUCUGCCUUCGCGCUGAUUUGGAAACUCGUGGCGGUUCGGCGUCUCUCACCGCCUCCUUCGCAAAGUUGCGUGGGAGAGACCUGCGUGCCCGGGGAUGAGCGCGGUGCGAGCUGACCGCCCGCUCGUGCUGCCGGCAGACCCGCCCGGCCCCGCUGCUGCUUGCCUUGCACGACGUCUCUGCUUCGGUCGGUAGUGACAGAUGUUAAUCACGCUGCUUAAUGCAGCCGUGGAUGGCAGAGAGGUAUCACAGUAACGAGAAGUGCGCAAUAACCUUGCCCAGAAUAGAACAGUGGAACUGAACAGUGGCUCGUUUCUCUUUGCAGGCACAUCUUUUUCUAUUCGGAGCUCAUUAACCCGUGUCCCUUUGCAUUCCAGUUUGGAGAUGUAAUGUCUGCUGAACUACAUAAAAAUGAUCAGAAGUCUGCUGCGGUAUUCUUGAGGUCUGCGCCGCUCUGCUCCAGAGGCAGAAACUUGUGUGAUUCCUAUGCAGAAAAGCCAUCAGUGAUGAGGCUGUGAGGUAGAUCACACGUGAGGGUCCUUGAAAUGAGGGGGAACUCUCUGCUGCUGUAGCUGGCACCUGUCUCUUGAGUGAAGUGCACAACAGCUUGGUAAAAGACGCUAAGAGCUGGCAGGAUGAGUUCCAGCUCACCCUCUGCACGUGACUUAUACCACAGCAGCACCACAACAGCCAAACCAGACGCAGGAACAACUCUGGAUGCAACUGUACCAGAAACAGCUACUGUGAGCCCUGAGACUACGAGCUUCAACAGCACCAAAAUCCCAGAUGUGGCCAGCAGUGGGCCCAGCAUGAGCGCCAUGCUGCUGUCCUUUGGGAUCAUUACUGUGAUUGGCUUGGCUGUAGCAAUGAGAAUGAAGGUAGCAGCAAGCUCACGUUCCUCGUGUGAGGAAGGGCUUCGCUAA